rnacentral:lncRNA from 1 species
GGGCUAUGGCAGCACUCCAGGGCUGGGAGCCUGCUUCUAGCAACUUCUUUCUGCUCCUUGUCUUGUGACCUUGUGGAUGAAAUGGCUGGAUUGAGUCUACACAGAGCUCCUGGGCCUUAACCCAAAGGAGCUUCAAGGGUCAGACCAGAAGGAGCAGCCUUGUGUGGCCUCCAGGCAAAACUGUCUUCUUGAGGCAGGCUAGGCAGCCCAGGUGACUUGGGGGCCCCAUGCUGUCCUUCAUGGACUAAACUGGGACAAGAGGUCUUCAGGUCUCUCUUCCCCACAUUCUUACUACUGCCCACCAUCUUCCCGUCGUCUUCUUCUGAGCUCCACAGGCUACACAGUCAAGACCCUGUCUCAGAAGCAGCCAGUGAGAUUGAUUUGCAGAGGGCUCCCAGCAUAAGUGCUGCCCGUGAGCUCUGGCCAAGAGCGCGAGGGCUGGACUCAGAUCCAGACCGGUCACUGCUGGCCGUAAGACUUGAGUGGCUCACCAGAAUGUUCUGUGCUUCACCAUCCUCAUCUGUAGAAUCUUUGUGCACAACACAGUGUCUUGUGAAGACCGGUAGAAGUCUGGCACAAGGUGGAACUCUGUAGACUGCUGAACACACAGCCAGCCAUUGCUGGACUGGCAGAGACCACCAGCUUCAAGUCUGUACCUUGCUUCCUUCCUAUUCUGGGCCCUGCAUCUCUACAAAGCCUCCAGCUGUGCCCCCAGGGCCCAAACCUGCUGACAUGCCUCCCUCUCCCCAUUGCUAGGCCCAGACAGCAUUGAGGCGAGGCCGAGGCGGCAUCCAUGGUGGGAGGAGCAAAGCUACUGCCUGGGCUUGGGGCUUGCCCAGCCCUGCACUGCUUGCAGACUCCCCAGACAGGGUGUUUGUAGUGCUAGCUAGCAGCUCAGCUGCAGCAGCUCCCGGAAGCUUACAUUUUCCUCUAAAAACAUCCUGUCCUGAGGGGCGUUUACCUCAAAGAGGAGGAAGGAAAACACAAGCAGACAAAUGCAUAGAACCCACAAGAGGCCAUGGGCAAGGCCACUCAGCUUAUGAGGGUUCAGCUGAGUCUAAUGGUGCCGCUCUGUUGGGCAGAGAAACCACAGGUUUGCCAAGGCUGCAUGCAGGGACUCUGGUCCUCACCUCCAGUGAGGCAGGUCCAUUAUCUGAUGUUGGGGCCAGGAGGCUAGUGGACUAGCCACAUGCUGUCAGCAGGUUCUGCAACCAUGGCAACCUUGUUGCCAACAGGUGGCUCUAAAGUCUCCUCUUGGUCUAGGGUGUGGCCCAGCUGUCCCCCAGCCCUCUCAGCUCUGCUGGUUCUAAGGCCAUGGCCCUGGUUCUGUAGUAGGUAUCUGGCACAGGGUGUUGGUGAGACACUUACAGGUUGUCAUGCCUUGGGCAGUAGAACCUGCGGCCAGAGCUGGGAACUAAAGGAGCACAGCCUGCUCCUCUCAGCCAGUCUGAAGUAUGCCUGCAGAAGAGGGUCUGUGGAAACGUGCAGGUCCAGCUCUGGUCGACGUCAUUUGCAGGACCCCCCUGCAAACUGGGACGCUCACUCUCAUGGGCUCAGGCACUGGCGAGCAUUCCACUCAGGAGCUAGUCAGACUCCCAAGCACACACAAGUUGCUGCUGCUGACGAUGACUGGGUGUGGAGAUAAGAUGUGAGCACUGAGGAAACUGUUGCAGGGGCUACCACUGGACUGUUUUGGGGCACUUAGCUGAGGAUGAAGUCAGCCUGCAGUGUCCCCAGAUGAGGCUUGGGCUUCUGUCUGUGUGUACCUUUUCUAAUUAGAGCAAAACGCCAUCUGAACUAGUGGCAGGUCUGAUUGUGACUAUGGUCAUUGUCAUUCUCAGAGUGCCUCAGGUGGUUAGGGUGUAGAAAGGAGAAAAGGAAGGGGCUCGGAUGCCAGAUGGACCCCUGACCCUAAAGUGGUCCCAGUUUCUGUAUGCUGCCAUAACACUAGAUGAAGCCCCAGACUUCCCCAGGGCAGCAAGUCUCUUUGAACGUGUGCAAACCACGUGUGCAGGUUGGUUUCAUCUGCACCACUUUCAGAGAACCAACCUGGGUCCUAGAUUUAGUUCAGUGACAAAAAUGAAAGGCAUAGUCCCAGAACACAGGGAGGAGAGAAGGUGGGUGAAGACACAAGAAGGUACCAGCCAUGUGUAGAGAGUCGAAAAGUUCUCUGAGGGCUGGAGAGAUGGCUCAGCGGUUAAGAGCACUGGCUGCUCUUUUGAAGGUCCUGAGUUCAAAUCCAACCAGCCACUUGGUGGUUCAAGACCAACUGUAAUGAGAUCUGACGCUCUUCUGGUGUGUCUGAAGAUGGCUACAGUGUACUCACAUACAAUAAAUAAAUCUUUUUUUUUUUUUUUUUUUUUUUGGUUUUUUGAGACAGGGUUUCUCUGUGUUGCCGUGGCCAUCCUGGAACUCACUGUGUUAACCAGGGU